AGCUAGCACUUACUGCGUUUUUUUCCUUGGUAACGAAGUUUUGCGUUCAUUCGUAGGUGGCUUUCCGCUUCCAGUUUUAUUUCAAACCCGAUUCUCAGGACUUCAGGUUUUCUGGAGUUCACUGAAAGCACUGGCUGCUCGGACAGUGAGCUCGGUGGAGGCCGCCUGGCCCCUCGCGUAGUUGGCCGCCUCAGUUCUGCAAGGGUUCCGGCCGUGCCGAGGGCGGCCCUGCCUGCUACCGGGCUCAAGAUGGCGGGGCCGGGGACAAAGCCCGGGCCCGGGGAGGGAGCGAUGGGCGGGAUUAGGCUUUCUGCUCUUUGUGCAAGUAGAAGCGCGAGGGAGAACUAAAGGCUCGUGUGAGGAAAGUUCCAGGAAGUUCUCAGGCCCCCUGAAAACUGUUGUGGAGCUCAGCGGAAGAACCUUCUGUCUGCUGUUGCCUUUUUCCAUCCCUUCGUUCAGCUGCUCCUGAUUAGAGAAAGUGGACCUUGAGGAAGAAAAUCUGAUUCUGCCGAACUGACGGUUUUUUUUAGCUGUGGUGAUGCUAUGUGGAUGAAAAAAAAAAAAAUAAACCAGCAGCCCACUUGCUUUCCUUGAA